CAACAAGCCAGCUGCGGUGGGUCAGAGGGUGACCGUGGGAAGGACGUCCCCUCCUCCACACCUCCUCUGGACCUUGCCUGUUCCCCCAUCCCUUGGUUUCCAUGGCAGCGUCUGGCAACGAGGCAUCUACUUCAAAACGCUGGCACGAAUGCCAGGCGGGAGCCGCAGACACGCAGGCCUAGGGAUCAGGAAAGCCAGCCGUGGCACCCACGCUGAGCUCACUGGAAAAGACCCUGAUGCUGGGAAAGAUUGAAGGCAGGAGGAGAAGGGGACGACAGAGGAUGAGAAGGACGGGGACAACAGUCUUCACUGCACACAGCUGCUGAGAGGACCAAAUGAGGCAGCAAACAGACCAUCGUCUCGUGUUGGCCGAUGGCCUUAAGAUGCUCAAGGGCCACCCUGCAAACCAACAAGCACAGAAGUGGAGACUGCUCCCAGCUGCAGUGUUAGUGCGUGGAGAGACACACGGCUUGCUGUCUGGGAUCAAAGGGAGGAGAAGGCGGUUGCCAGAAGAAAGCGUGGUUUCCCUGCGUGAGUAAGGAUGCAGAGAAAGCCCCAGGAGUUUAGAACCAGCCCGGUGUGCUGGUGGAUUCAGAGCCCGGCACCAAUGGGGCAACCCAGCCCUGCGCCAGCCCGAACCUGGGGUGUCCAUCCUUGUAACUCACUCCAGCUUUCCCUCCUAUCCGCAGACUCAAAUGUUCCCUUGAUUCCUCUU